CCUACGGGAGGCAGCAGUGAGGAAUAUUGGUCAAUGGACGAAAGUCUGAACCAGCCAUGCCGCGUGCAGGAUGACUGCUCUAUGAGUUGUAAACUGCUUUUGUACGAGAGUAAACGCAGAUACGCGUAGGUGUCUGUAAGUAUCGUACGAAUAAGGAUCGGCUAACUCCGUGCCAGCAGCCGCGGUAAUACGGAGGAUUCGAGCGUUAUCCGGAUUUAUUGGGUUUAAAGGGUGCGUAGGCGGUCGGAUAAGUUAGAGGUGAAAUCCCGAGGCUCAACUUCGGAAUUGCCUCUGAUACUGUUCGGCUAGAGAGUAGUAGAGGUAGGCGGAAUGUAUGGUGUAGCGGUGAAAUGCUUAGAGAUCAUACAGAACACCGAUUGCGAAGGCAGCUCACUAAGCUACUUCUGACGUUGAGGCACGAAAGCGUGGGGAGCAAACAGGAUUAGAUACCCUAGUAGUC
rnacentral:rRNA from 1 species